ensembl:lncRNA
UUUUAGCCAACUGUUCUUGGGGAAAAAAUGCAACACCCUGGUAAUUAAGCUUCGCUUACUUUAAAUUAAUCUAUUUUAGGGAAUUCCGCUGUGGUCCAGUGGUUAGGACUUGUUGCUUUCACUGUUGAGGGCCUGGGUUCAAUCCCUGGUCAGAGAAUGAAAAUCCCACAAGCCACACAGUACGGCCAAAAAAAGAAAAAAGAGAGAGAUUAAUCUCUUAUCAUUCCAUGAAUUUUGGGAACUCAUAAGAAACAUAAUACAUUUCAUGUAACUAGCUUAAAGCAAAAUGGGACUUAAUUUUUCUUAAUGUAGACUCAGCAGAUUUAAUUUAAAUAAAGCUUGUAAAUUAAUUUUAACAACAUGAAAAUUUAUUGACAGUGGUGAAUAGUAAAGCAACCAAAACCAUAAGCCAAAGUAAUAUGAAUGAAAAUAUUGUCUAGACACAAUUUUAUAUAAAACUUUGAAAAAGCAUUUGCUUAUUCAGUAACAUGGUCAAGUUCAAAUAUAGGCCAAAUAGUUAGAAAAUUACUUCUUUUAUAGGCUCAUAUGUGCUGAAAGUAUUGUUUUUGAAUCUUAAAAAUUAUAUUUACCUCUUUAUUGUAAAUUUACCUUUUUAAUGUAAAAAUUGUAUUUAUCUCAUGUGCUUGUUUUUUGCUUUAGAAAUACCAUUCAGGGUCAAACAUGAGAUAAGCAAGCACAUACAAAUUUUUCUUUCAACUGAAAUGAGAGCAUUUUUUUAGCUUACUAUUUUAAAUGUUCGCUGAAUAAAUAAAAGAUUGUUCAAAUGUAUGAGAAGUUGAAACUGCAGCAUAAUGUUCAUUGUUUCCUAUGAAUAGCAGGAUAUUCUUUUCUUCGCAGAAAUCCAGAACUUUUCUGGGCAGAUCAGUAAAACUCAUCUUGAAUGUAUUAGACUGCUGCUUCUUACUUUUUGUUUUUUCCAAGUCAGCUUCUCACAAUCAGAUGAUUCAGGAAAAGAGAACCUGUUCGUUGAUAUACUUGUUUUGAAAGGGAAAGAAAAUGAGUUCAGUGUGUUCUGCAGCUUCCCCAGGUGGUUUCUCAUGAGGCUUGAGACUUGCUGGUGUCUUCUUCACUGGAGCUCCAGCAGCAGUGGAAACAUUUGAAGUUUUCUUUUUUGUAACACAGUGUUUUCCAGAAGUGCAUUUUCCUUUUAAAUCCAAAAUCCUUGUCCCUUGAAGUCAGAACCGCACGAAACUGAAGAGCGUGGAGUCGGCAGCCACUCUCCAUCUUCAGAGUGUUACUAUAAAACAAGCCCUGUUCUUCUGUUGUCUUCAGAGGACCCUUUCAGCUCACAUACGCUGUUAAGAACUUCUCCUUAGCUAAGCCACUGGACUUCUUUACAUAGCAGACGAUAUUCUUUAAAUAUUCUAGAGUAAAAUGGCCUUUGUUUAAUGAACAUGACCAUUUUGUGGUGUCUUCCAGAACAUUUUUAUAUCAUCCCAAGUGUUUUUGACAACAGUACAUGAAUACCUUCUGUGUCAGGUCAGGUCCCCAGAGAAACAGAUGUGCAGGGAGUCCCAUCCAGACAGAGUUAGCUGUUGGGGCAUUCCUGUCAUGCUCCAUCGUUUGUUUGCUGGGGAAGCCUAGAGGAAGCAUGGCACGUAUUACUGUUAGAAUGGAUUCCAGGAUGAGGUAGCUGAGGGCUGUGGAGCAGCUCUGCUCCCAUAGCAGAUUCUGUUGAAGGGGCCCCCACACCCUGCAUAUCCCUGUGAGCUCUGACACCAUCCUGCCUUCUCCACUGUAUGGAUCCCCCCUCACCCUUCUUGGUCAGGCUCUUUCCUCCCACCAUCCCCCGCACAUACCUGACUCCACUUUAUGGCUUUAGAAUUGAAUUGCUCAGGGGAGAGGAUAGUAGAAGGAAGUUGAAAAGGGCGAGGCAUUCAGAUUUUCUAAACCUGCAACUGACUAGAAUACGGUUCCAUUCACCGAGAGAAAAUAGGAGAGGAUCUAAGAAUUCUGAGAGUGUACAGGAAUUUGGGUUUUAAAAUAAUGAAUUUGGGGCAACUGUGGGAUAUCUUGAUAUAGCUAGUGGACUCAGUGGAGGAGCUUGGCUGGAGAGAGUGGAGUUGGUUGUCAUUAACUUCUGUGUGAUACUUAAAACCCAAGGUUGCAAGGAAAUUUCAGAGCUGGCAGUGGAGAACAGAGGUGCUGCUUGCGGAACAAUACCAAGGAAAGGAUGAUCUCAAGGGAAACUAAGAGGCAUGAGAGUUGUAAAGAGAGGGGAGUCAUUGACAAUCAUGUAAAAAGCUACAAAAAUGGUAGAAGACUCAGUGGGAUUUGGCAACCAGUUUGAAAUUCAGUUUCAGUUUAGUAAACCCAGAUUGCAGAUGUAGUGGAGUUGAAUGGGGAUGAGGAAUUAAAUGUGGCCAAACAAAAAUAUGUACUGUAAGUUAAAUAACAUAUAAAAAGUAGAUAUUGUCAUGUGAACUGAUAGAUAGUUAUGCGUCCUUUCUAGUAAAGAUUUGGGCAUGACUUAGCAACUGAACUGAUCUGAAGGAAAUGAUUAUUUAAAAUAAGAUUAUUGGGAAAAGUGCAUUUAUUAGAGGUUCUUUGAAAAGAGGCCUAAAGAAAAUCAUGGAAAGAACCGGGCAGAUAUGUGAGGGAGAGCAUUCAGGCAGACGCUUUAUCCAGUGCAGAGACUCUGAGGUAGCAGCAUAUUUUCCUCUUUCAGAAAAAGCAAGGACAGAAAGACUGGAGCAAAGUGAAAAAGAGAAUAGCAGAAUAUGAGCUCAGAGUGAUGGGAUGGCAUACAUCAUACAGGCAACAAUUUUUUAAAAGAUCACUUUCAUUCUGAGUGAGAUGGGAACCUCUUGGUGGAUUUUGAGUAGCAGAGUGAUACUAAGUAAGUGGUAUUUAGUAUAUAUUCCAGAUGCUUACUUUUAGUCAGUUUGAGCAUAGUGAUUAAUAAUCAUUAUUAAUUUGUCAUAUAGAGAGUUCAGAAUAUGAAGUUGGAGUUUUACUAAGUGGUGUGGUCAGAGAAGAAAUCUUGGUGAUUAGGGAGGCUUUUUUAGGAUUCAGGGACAAACCAAACCUGCUUAUCGAAAGUGAUUCCAAGCUUUGAUGACAAGUACGGUUCGGUUGAUUUUCCUGCCAUUUAUGUCUUAAAACUUCUUAAAUGACUGUAGGUCAAUCAUAGUGGUUUCUGAAAAUGUUAGUAUUGCACUGUCCUUUGGAGGCUUUGGCAAAUUUCUUAGAUCACCCACUGUACGUCAGGUAACCAGUAUUGCUCAGUGACUACUGUGAUUUCAAAGUUAGUCUUUGCCUGGGAAUCUUCUUUGGAGGCUCACAACUCUAAUUCCCUCUGAGAUAGGCUCUCAGAGCUCACUUUAACAGGUAUACUGUGCCUGCUUUAACUCCUUUAGGCAGCCUAAUAUAAACAGUUCAAAUGGUUAUGAAUAAUCAAACAUCUUUUGUGAAACAGUGUUCAUAAGAAACUGUUAAAAGUUCAUGAGAAACUUUUUUAAAAAACACUGAAAUUACAUCUGAAGUGCUGUUAAGUUAACCAGCUAUAAUGAUUAAAAGUCACCUAUAUUUUCUAGAACUUGGGGAAAGUCACAGAGUAUUUCUCUUUUAUCUCAGUAACCUAAUUAUUAAAUUUUUUUGAAUAGCAGUUAUCAUAAUCAGUUCCCUGG